UACGUAGGGACCAAGCGUUGUUCGGAUUUACUGGGCGUAAAGGGCGCGUAGGCGGCGCGGUAAGUCACUUGUGAAAUCUCUGAGCUUAACUCAGAACGGUCAAGUGAUACUGCUGUGCUAGAGUGCGGAAGGGGCAAUCGGAAUUCUUGGUGUAGCGGUGAAAUGCGUAGAUAUCAAGAGGAACACCUGAGGUGAAGACGGGUUGCUGGGCCGACACUGACGCUGAUGCGCGAAAGCCAGGGGAGCAAACGGG
rnacentral:rRNA from 1 species